rnacentral:tRNA from 1 species
GAGGGGAUAGCUCAGUAGUAGAGCAUGUGCUCAACAUGGACGAGGUCCUGGGUUCAAUCCCCAGUACCUCCA